AAAGUCGUAACAAGGUCUCCGUAGGUGAACCUGCGGAGGGAUCAUUACCGAGCGAGGGCCCCCGGCCCGACCUCUCAACCCCAUGUUGCCCGACACUGUUGCCUCGGGGGCGACCCGGCCCUUGGGCGUCGGGGCCCCCGGCGGACCGUCAAACGCUGCAUCUGUGCGUCCGAGUCAAACGAUAAAUCAAUCAAAACUUUCAACAACGGAUCUCUUGGUUCUGGCAUCGAUGAAGAACGCAGCGAAAUGCGAUAAGUAAUGUGAAUUGCAGAAUUCAGUGAAUCAUCGAAUCUUUGAACGCACAUUGCGCCCUCCGGUAUUCCGGGGGGCAUGCCUGUUCGAGCGUCAUUACACCACUCCAGCCCCGCUGGGCCUUGGGCGCCGCCGCCUCGCCGGCGCGCCCCAAUGUCUCCGGCUGAGCCGUCCGUCUCUAAGCGUUGUGGCAACUCAAUCCGCUUCGGGGACCGGUUGGUACGACGCCGUCAAAACACCCCACACAAGGUUGACCUCGGAUCAGGUAGGGAUACCCGCUGAACUUA
rnacentral:rRNA from 1 species